UAUGAGCUGAAGUGUCCUCUGCACCUCAUCCCCAAACAGUUGCAGAUUGUCAAGUCCUGUGGUGAGGUCUGUGAUCAAAUUUGUAUAAGGAUUCCCCAAAGAUGGUGUCACACCCAGACGACAGGAAGCAAAUUUAAGAACAUGAUACCCACGUUCCCAAGAGGAUGAAGAAAGAGGUAGAAGUCCCAGAAACUGUGGGCCAGCCAGCCUGCUGGAGCAUAGCAGUGAACAAGAAGCCGUUUCUCAAAGAAAGCAGAAUGUGAAGCCCACUAUUCAGAUACUCUACGGAUGCAGAGCAUCUCCAGGAUUCCUUUCUUCUCUUUAACAACAUCAAGACUGAGACAGCAUCGCUGCUAAUGAAGUGCAGGUUAGCAGGGCUCAGUCACACACCCGUUCCCCAGCGCAUCUCCACCUGUGGCUUCUCCAUGUGGUCCUUCGCACACUCUUCGUUAAUAUUGCUGAAAUUGGAAUCACAGAAGCAAUUCUGACUGAAAGAGCAACGUUUCAAUUAAACAAAUAAUCAAAUUCAAAA